rnacentral:rRNA from 1 species
GACGAACGCUGGCGGCGUGCUUAACACAUGCAAGUCGAACGAAGCCCAUUCAGUAGCAAUACUGAGGAAGGUUUAGUGGCGAACGGGUGAGUAACACGUGAGAAACCUAUCCUGGUCUCUGGGAUAACAGUCGGAAACAACUGCUAAUACCGGAUGCCGUCGGAGCGCUGCAUGGCGCACUGACGAAAGGGUUACUGGAUCAGGAGGGUCUCGCGGCCUAUCAGCUUGUUGGUGGGGUAACGGCCUACCAAGGCAUCGACGGGUAGCUGGUCUGAGAGGAUGAUCAGCCACACUGGGACUGAGACACGGCCCAGACUCCUACGGGAGGCAGCAGUGGGGAAUCUUGCGCAAUGGGCGAAAGCCUGACGCAGCAACGCCGCGUGCGGGAAGAAGGCCUUCGGGUUGUAAACCGCUUUCAGAAGGAACGAAACUGACGGUACUUUCAGAAGAAGGUGCGGCCAACUACGUGCCAGCAGCCGCGGUGACACGUAGGCACCAAGCGUUGUCCGGAUUUAUUGGGCGUAAAGAGCUCGUAGGCGGUUCGAUAAGUCGGGUGUGAAAACUUUGGGCUCAACCCAAAGCGUGCAUUCGAUACUGUUGUGACUAGAGUUCGGUAGGGGAGUGGGGAAUUCCUAGUGUAGCGGUGAAAUGCGCAGAUAUUAGGAGGAACACCGGUGGCGAAGGCGCCACUCUGGGCCGAAACUGACGCUGAGGAGCGAAAGCGUGGGUAGCAAACAGGAUUAGAUACCCUGGUAGUCCACGCCGUAAACGUUGGGCACUAGGUGUGGGUUCCAACCAACGGAAUCCGCGCCGUCGCUAACGCAUUAAGUGCCCCGCCUGGGGAGUACGGCCGCAAGGUUA